AAGAAGCGACCACGCGAGUGUGAGCGAAUCUCAAAAUAAACGUCUCAGUUCGGAUUGUAGUCUGCAACUCGACUACAUGAAGCUGGAAUCGCUAGUAAUCGCGGAUCAGAAUGCCGCGGUGAAUACGUUCCCGGGUCUUGUACACACCGCCCGUCACACCAUGGGAGUCAGUAACGCCCGAAGCCGGUGACCCCAACCUAACCAGGGAGGGAGCCGUCGAAGGCGGGACGGAUGACUGGGGUGAAGUCGUAACAAGGUAAC
rnacentral:rRNA from 1 species